rnacentral:rRNA from 1 species
UACGUAGGGUGCAAGCGUUGUCCGGAAUUAUUGGGCGUAAAGAGCUCGUAGGCGGUGUGUCGCGUCGGCCGUGAAAACCUGCAGCUUAACUGUGGGCUUGCGGUCGAUACGGGCAUCACUGGAGUUCGGCAGGGGAGACUGGAAUUCCUGGUGUAGCGGUGAAAUGCGCAGAUAUCGGGAGGAACACCAGUGGCGAAGGCGACUACCUGGCCUGUUUCUUGACGCUGAGGCGCGAAAGCUAGGGGAGCAAACGGG